ACGGGAGGCAGCAGUGGGGGAUAUUGCACAAUGGGGGAAACCCUGAUGCAGCGACGCCGCGUGAGCGAAGAAGUAUUUCGGUAUGUAAAGCUCUAUCAGCAGGGAAGAAAAUGACGGUACCUGACUAAGAAGCCCCGGCUAACUACGUGCCAGCAGCCGCGGUAAUACGUAGGGGGCAAGCGUUAUCCGGAUUUACUGGGUGUAAAGGGAGCGUAGACGGUAAAGCAAGUCUGAAGUGAAAUCCCGGGGCUCAACCCCUGAACUGCCUUGGAAACUGUUUAACUAGAGUGUAGGAGAGGUAAGCGGAAUUCCUAGUGUAGCGGUGAAAUGCGUAGAUAUUAGGAGGAACACCAGUGGCGAAGGCGGCUUACUGGACUGUAACUGACGUUGAGGCUCGAAAGCGUGGGGAGCAAACAGGAUUAGAUACCCUGGUA
rnacentral:rRNA from 1 species